UAAAACGUAGGUGGCGAGCGUUAUCCGGAUUUACUGGGCGUAAAGGGUGUGCAGGCGGGCUGUUAAGUGGUGCAUGAAAUCUCCGCGCUUAACGUGGAGAGGCUGUGCCAGACUGGCAGUCUAGAGUACGAGAGAGGGUUGUGGAAUUCCGGGUGUAGUGGUGAAAUGCGUAGAGAUCCGGAGGAACACCAGAGGCGAAGGCGGCAACCUGGCUCGUAACUGACGCUCAUACACGACAGCAUGGGGAGCGAACGGGAUUAGAAACCCCGGUAGUCCAUGCCGUAAACGAUGCAAGCUGGGUGUCGCGGGGUGCAAACCCUGCGGUAUCGUAGUUAACACGAUAAGCUUGCCGCCUGGGGAGUACGGUCGCAAGGCUA
rnacentral:rRNA from 1 species